rnacentral:rRNA from 1 species
GACAGAGGGUGCGAACGUUGCUCGGAAUUACUGGGCGUAAAGCGCGUGUAGGCGGGUGAUCAAGUCAGGUGUGAAAUCCCCGGGCUCAACCUGGGAAUUGCGGUUGGAACUGGCAAGCUAGAGUAGGGUAGAGGGGUGUGGAAUUCCAGGUGUAGCGGUGAAAUGCGUAGAUAUCUGGAGGAACAUCAGUGGCGAAGGCGACACCCUGGACUCAUACUGACACUGAGGUGCGAAAGCGUGGGGAGCAAACAGG